rnacentral:rRNA from 1 species
GACGAACGCUGGCGGCGUGCUUAACACAUGCAAGUCGAACGCUGAAGCACCAGCUUGCUGGUGUGGAUGAGUGGCGAACGGGUGAGUAAUACGUGAGUAACCUGCCCUUGACUCUGGGAUAAGCCCGGGAAACUGGGUCUAAUACUGGAUGCUACAUGUCACCGCAUGGUGGGGUGUGGAAAGGGUUUACUGGUCUUGGAUGGGCUCACGGCCUAUCAGCUUGUUGGUGAGGUAAUGGCUCACCAAGGCGACGACGGGUAGCCGGCCUGAGAGGGUGACCGGCCACACUGGGACUGAGACACGGCCCAGACUCCUACGGGAGGCAGCAGUGGGGAAUAUUGCACAAUGGGCGAAAGCCUGAUGCAGCGACGCCGCGUGAGGGAUGACGGCCUUCGGGUUGUAAACCUCUUUCAGCAGGGAAGAAGCCACAAGUGACGGUACCUGCAGAAGAAGCGCCGGCUAACUACGUG